rnacentral:tRNA from 127 species
GCCGGCUUAGCUCAUCAGGUAGAGCAGUUGAUUUGUAAUCAUCAGGUGGCGGGUUCGAGUCCUGCAGCCGGCACCA